UUGAGUGGAUCCAAGCAAAACGGCGCAAACCGUACACAGCAAAAAAUGUAGUAAAACGCCUGCGUGUAAUAAUGGUUUGUGUAGUCAAUUUUAUGUAAUAUUACAUAUUUUUCAUAGAACACAUUUCGUCUUUUUGCCUAACACCAAUUACGCCUAAAUUGUGUAAUAUUAACAACAUUUUCAAUUAAUAUCGCAUAUGCGUGUUUCCUCAAGUUAAGCUGUCAAAUUUUUUCACCAUCCGCAAUCAAAUCAAAACAAUGCGUACCAAAUUUUAGUGGUGCUGAGCAAAGUGACGAAAAAUCAACAAGUUCUGUGGCCAAGAGCUGCCGUUAAGGAUGUUCGCCAUAAAAAAGAACCUUCCGGUGCGGUACAUCUUCUUCUUUGACACCGACAUCAGCGCCUAGAUCGAAGAAACCCAGAUCAAGGAGAAGCUGGUGUCGUCGUGCAAGUCGACCGGCUUCGAGGAGGCGGUCCAGCAGAGAGGACUUCAUCGCCAACCCGGAGAACUCUGCGCAUCUGUUAACGGGUGAACCGUCCCGAAACGGACCUCGAGUUCAACAAGCUGCGGAAAACGACAAGAGUGAGAACGGCCAGGAGGACGAGAGCGUGAACAACACGACGACCAAGAGUGCGCUGGAAACGGUCAAACGACGAGGACGGUUCUCCCUGCCCCCGUACGCCAUCCAGUACUCGGACGAAUUCCUGCUUGAGGAAUUCAUACGCGCGGGACAUUGCAAAAAAAAGUCUGCCGCCAAGAAGAAAGUCGCUUCGACGCCCAAGGCCAAGGCCAUCGAGGACAUUGCAAACGCAAGCUAAACGAUUCCGGCAACGUGUCGACGCUGGAUCUGGACAUCGUCUCGCCGGUGCCCUUCCUCCGUAACGGUGGCGCAUCCUGCCACGCUCGAAAUCGACAUGCGAGUGUGUCGAACGCGCUGCAGUCGCACAACAUUCAGGCCUCAAAUAUAAAGUUUCGCUUAUUCGGGCUCGGCAUCAUUUGCUACGGCAUCGUCAAGAACCUACAGCCGGAGCCGGAGUUCGGUAACUGUGGAAUCAUGUCGGCCAACCUACGCCCCGAGAUGACCGGCGUCGACCAAGAACGUCGCAGGACAUCGCCGAAAAGAUCAUCUCCGAAGAAGGCCAGUACCAGGAAGCACAAAUUCAAAGCUCCAAGAACCAAACCAAGGAGGGCACGAUGAUCAUCCUGACCGGCGGCGAGCGGUUGCCGUCGAAGAGUGCCAGACCUUCUUCGAAGCCAUCUCGUGCAACUCGUUCUACCUCGGUGAGGUGGGCGACGUGACCAAGAGAAACCUGUUGCUGCAGAUGAUGAUUUACAGCGUGACGCUGGCCGGCAUAGCGUAAGAUUGUAAGAUUCAGUGAUGCAGCAUGCAGCCGCGACUGCGAAUGAUCAGCACGGAUCUCGAUUCAUUUAUCAAAAUCUGGAAUGGGAAACGGGAAAUCCUUCGCGAGUUGGGCGGCCAGCAUUGAGUGCGUCGACCCGGUCGUGCUGCAGUGCAUCAUCGGUUACGGAACGCGUUACGGCAAAUUGCCCUCAGUUGGAUUCCGGUGUGAUUGCGGUCGUUUGGGCAAGAUUGUACCAGCAUCAAUUCUGCAGCUCAACAAGAAACCCUUACAAGCGGAUGUCCGAGCUGGCCGCCGGGAAAGACAGCGCAUCGCCAACACACGAACUUCACUCUGUAAGCUGAUCAAACGAUUCGGAACGACACAAAGUGUCCGAGCUGGCAGGGAAAGAAAAAUAGAAAUAGUGCAAACGACCUCCUUGCGAAGAAUUUCAUCAACACGUAAAGACACCUAAUUAAAUAGCAAAGUUCAAGUGUUUAAGAGAAAAUUAUACGCAAU